rnacentral:rRNA from 1 species
CGGCGAGCGAAAAGAAAAUAGUUCAGCACUAAGUCACUUUGUCUUUAUGGCAAAUGUGAGAUGCAGUGUAUGGAAUGUCAAAUUUCUAGUAUGAGAAAUUAACGAUUUAAGUCCUUCUUAAAUGAGGCCAUUUACCCAAAGAGGGUGCCAGGCCCGUAUAACGUUAAUGAUUACUAGAUGGCAUUUCCAAAGAGUCGUGUUGCUUGAUAGUGCAGCACUAAGUGGGUGGUAAACUCCAUCUAAAACUAAAUAUAACCAUGAGACCGAUAGUAAACAAGUACCGUGAGGGAAAGUUGAAAAGAACUCUGAAUAGAGAGUUAAAUAGUACGUGAAACUGCUUAGAGGUUAAGCCCGAUGAACCUGAAUAUCCGUUAUGGAAAAUUCAUCAUUAUGAUUUUAAUAUUUAUAAUAUUAUAAUAAUGGUGUGCAUUUUUUCUAUAAAGGACAUUGUAAUCUAUUAACAUAAUAAAAUAUUUAUCAUAAGAUCAUUUGCGUAAGUUUAUUCAAAUUAUUUNGCUUGCAAUUNAAUAUCGAAUAAAUGCUUUUGAUUUGAUAAAGUGUUGAUAGAUUUAUUAUAUACAGUGCUUAAAUAUUUAUAUUUUAUAAUAUCAUAUUAAUCAAUGAUUUUUAUGUUCAUUAUAUGCACUUGUAUGAUU